rnacentral:rRNA from 1 species
UGGGGAAUAUUGGACAAUGGGCGAAAGCCUGAUCCAGCCAUGCCGCAUGAGUGAAGAAGGCCUUUGGGUUGUAAAGCUCUUUUAGUGAGGAAGAUAAUGACGGUACUCACAGAAGAAGUCCUGGCUAACUCCGUGCCAGCAGCCGCGGUAAUACGGAGAGGGCUAGCGUUAUUCGGAAUUAUUGGGCGUAAAGGGCGCGUAGGCUGGUUAAUAAGUUAAAAGUGAAAUCCCGAGGCUUAACCUUGGAAUUGCUUUUAAAUCUAUUAAUCUAGAGAUUGAAAGAGGAUAGAGGAAUUCCUGAUGUAGAGGUAAAAUUCGUAAAUAUUAGGAGGAACACCGGUGGCGAAGGCGUCUAUCUGGUUCAAAUCUGACGCUGAAGCGCGAAGGCGUGGGGAGCAAACA